AUUGAACGCUGGCGGCAGGCUUAACACAUGCAAGUCGAGCGGAGAUGAGGUGCUUGCACCUUAUCUUAGCGGCGGACGGGUGAGUAAUGCUUAGGAAUCUGCCUAUUAGUGGGGGACAACAUUCCGAAAGGAAUGCUAAUACCGCAUACGUCCUACGGGAGAAAGCAGGGGAUCUUCGGACCUUGCGCUAAUAGAUGAGCCUAAGUCGGAUUAGCUAGGUUGUGGGGUAAAGGCCUACCAAGGCGAAGAUCUGUAGCGGGUCUGAGAGGAUGAUCCGGCACACUGGGACUGAGACACGGCCCAGACUCCUACGGGAGGCAGCCGUGGGGAAUAUUGGACAAUGGGGAAAACCCUGAUCCAGCCAUGCCGCGUGUGUGAAGAAGGCCUUAUGGUUGUAAAGCACUUUAAGCGAGGAGGAGGCUACUGAGACUAAUACUCUUGGAUAGUGGACGUUACUCGCAGAAUAAGCACCGGCUAACUCUGUGCCAGCAGCCGCCGUAAAAC
rnacentral:rRNA from 1 species